AUGAUCCUUGAAGAGGCGCACAAACGUUUUGUAAUGGAGUCUUGCUUUGUCACCCAGGCUGGGAUGCAGUGGUGUGAUCUUGACUUACUGCAACCUCUGCCUCCCGGGUUCAAGAGAUUCUCCUGCCUCGGCUUCCUGAGUACCUGGCUAUACAGGCAAAG
rnacentral:lncRNA from 1 species